UACGUAGGUGGCAAGCGUUGUCCGGAUUUACUGGGUGUAAAGGGCGUGCAGCCGGAGAGACAAGUCAGAUGUGAAAUCCACAGGCUCAACCUGUGAACUGCAUUUGAAACUGUUUCCCUUGAGUAUCGGAGAGGUCAUCGGAAUUCCUAGUGUAGCGGUGAAAUGCGUAGAUAUAUGGAAGAACACCAGUGGCGAAAGCGGCUCUCUGGUCUGUAACUGACGCUGAGGUUCGAAAGCGUGGGUAGCAAACAGG
rnacentral:rRNA from 1 species